rnacentral:lncRNA from 1 species
CGUGAUGCUGGCGUAUUCUCGAGCAAAGAUGGGGAAGACGUCGAGGACUUGAUCAGCCUGCACAAAAGCAGGUG